GAGUUUGAUCAUGGCUCAGAAUCAACGCUGGCGGCGUGCCUAACACAUGCAAGUCGAACGCGGUUAGUAGCAAUACUAACUGAGUGGCGAACGGGUGAGUAACACGUGGGUGACCUACCUUCGAGUGGGGGAUAACGUCCCGAAAGGGACGCUAAUACCGCAUGACAUCCUCUUUUUGAACAGAGAGAGAUCAAAGCCGGGGAUCGUAAGACCCGGCGCUUGAUGAGGGGCUCGCGUCUGAUUAGCUAGUUGGUGGGGUAAUGGCUCACCAAGGCGACGAUCAGUAUCCGGCCUGAGAGGGCGGACGGACACACUGGGACUGAGACACGGCCCAGACUCCUACGGGAGGCAGCAGUGGGGAAUUGUUCACAAUGGGCGCAAGCCUGAUGACGCAACGCCGCGUGGAGGAUGAAGGUCUUCGGAUUGUAAACUCCUGUUGCUCGGGAAGAAUGGCUCCGACCUAAUACGUCGGAGUGUGACGGUACCGGGUGAGGAAG
rnacentral:rRNA from 1 species